AAUAAAUUGUUUCCGCGGUGUA
rnacentral:siRNA from 1 species